CUACGGGUGGCAGCAGUGAGGAAUAUUGCACAAUGGGGGGAACCCUGAUGCAGCAACGCCGCGUGGAGGAUGACGCAUUUCGGUGUGUAAACUCCUUUUAUAUGUCAAGAAAAUGACGGUAGCAUAUGAAUAAGCACCGGCUAACUCCGUGCCAGCAGCCGCGGUAAUACGGAGGGUGCAAGCGUUACUCGGAAUCACUGGGCGUAAAGGACGCGUAGGCGGGUUGGAAAGUCAGGUGUGAAAUCCUACAGCUUAACUGUAGAACUGCACUUGAAACUUCUAAUCUAGAGUAUGGGAGGGGGAGAUGGAAUUAGUGGUGUAGGGGUAAAAUCCGUAGAUAUCACUAGGAAUACCUAAAGCGAAGGCGAUCUCCUGGAACAUUACUGACGCUCAGAUGCGAAAGCGUGGGGAGCAAACGGGAUUAGAUACCCGUGUAGUC
rnacentral:rRNA from 1 species